UACGGGGGGGGCAAGCGUUGUUCGGAAUUACUGGGCGUAAAGGGCUCGUAGGCGGCCAACUAAGUCGGAUGUGAAAUCCCCCAGGCUCAACCUGGGAACUGCAUCCGAUACUGGAUGGCUUGAAUCCGGGAGAGGGAUGCAGAAUUCCAGGUGUAGCGGUGAAAUGCGCAGAUAUCAGGAAGAACACCCCGUGGCGAAGGCGGUUCUCUGGGACGGUACUGACGCUGGAGGCGCGAAAGCG
rnacentral:rRNA from 1 species